GCUAGAUUUAGUAAUCAAAUCGUAACCCGCGGUCGCGAGACGGAGUAAAGCCGAGCUUGAUCGAUGCCACGGUUAGUUACGGCACGAGUCCCAUCAUCAGUUAGCCUCGAAAAAACCGGAAGCAGGCAAAGGCAGCACUUAAAAUUACAAGUCUCAUGAAGUCAGACCUUGCUGCGAAUGCGAAGAUGGGUGUAAGGGACAAACUCUGGUUGCUCAUGGCUGUGGUGCUGCUCCUUCAAGAAUGUGUUCAACAUGCAAACUCCAACACCUGGAAGGGCAACCACGAAGGUGAGGAUCUUCCA